GAUGAACGCUAGCGGCAGGCUUAAUACAUGCAAGUCGAGGGGCAGCAAGGGUAGCAAUACCUGUUGGCGACCGGCAAACGGGUGCGGAACACGUACAGAACCUUCCUUUAAGUGGGGGAUAGCCCAUAGAAAUGUGGAUUAAUACCCCUUAAUAUUAUGUGAUGGCAUCAUUAUAUAAUUAAAGAUUUAUUGCUUAGAGAUGGCUGUGCGGCUGAUUAGGUAGUGGUGCGGGUAAUGGCCCACCAAGCCAACGAUCAGUAACUGGUGUGAGAGCACGACCAGUCACACGGGCACUGAGACACGGGCCCGACUCCUACGGGAGGCAGCAGUAAGGAAUAUUGGUCAAUGGACGCAAGUCUGAACCAGCCAUGCCGCGUGAAGGAU
rnacentral:rRNA from 1 species